rnacentral:lncRNA from 1 species
UCUCAGAACAAUAUCUUUUGGAGAUUCAAUAAAAAGAUUGAAAGAAAAAGAUUGCUCUGACAGAAAAAAAGAAUAAAUGGUUCAUUUAUGGCACCUUUUAAAAUCUGUUUUCAGAAAUUGCAUAUGCAAUAGAAAUUUCGAAGUACUGUCCCAAACCAGAAGAGGUUUGCUCCACUAAUAGCAGAAGUAUGUUGGAAUUCUGUGAGUCAGGCUUUAUGCAAUUUCUAGCGAAAUCUGUUCCAUAUCUGAAAGGCGAAAUGGAUGUACCUUUAACCCCUCCAUGCAGACAACAAAGAUCAUGGGUUAAUUUUCUGUGCACAGGACUUCAAGAAGAACCUAUUCCUCUUUCUGGUAACAGAGCAUCAGGCUGUUAAACUUGCAUAUCAGCGUUAUUCACUUACAGAAUUGAAGGAAAUGUUACCAGUUGAGGUAGAAGCACCAGUGCUUAGCUCACUUGAGAAGGGCUGGUGGCUUCAUUUGGGUUUAAAUCCAGUCUCCAUAGAACCUUUGGAGCAAUUAAAUAUGGAUGCCAGUAAUGCAAACCAUUUGCUUCUCACAGAAGUAGAAACAUUCACACAAUUUACAUCAUACCAGUUAGAAAGAUGGCUUGAAGAGAAGAAUUCCAUGACAAACCAGGAGCUUCUUUCUGCUGAAAGACAUCAGUUGGACAAAGUAAUUAAUCCUUCCGUGUCACCACAGACUCAAAGGCAGUGCUUUGCCCUGCACGUGAGUGCUGCACCAUCUGCCAAAAUUCACAGUACAAAUACAUCUGUGGAAGAGCUCACUGGAGGAAGCAUAAGAAAGAGUAAGGUAGAAGAAGCCAUUUAUUCCUUAAACCAAGAAAAGAAACCCACCAAAACAUCUGAAUCAAUCAGCUGUAAAGAUGUGUCUUCUAAACGAGACAACUCAUCCAGUAGUCAAAAGCCUGCAUCACUUGCACUUGCUACAAAAUGGGACAAUGAUGAUUCUGAUCUGAGCAACUUUAUCAUGCUGAGAUCUAAACACACACUCACCCACAGAGAAGAAGAAAAUGAUAUAAAUAGUCCUAGAAAAGGUAUGUGAACCAGAUUAGCAUGCCAUUUUCCAGGUUUAAAUCUGGUCUCUUAUUCCAGUUACAAUAAAUGCUAGCUCCUCUAAGUAGAUCUAUGGG